rnacentral:rRNA from 1 species
GAUGAACGCUGGCGGCGUGCCUAAUACAUGCAAGUCGAGCGAACAGACGAGGAGCUUGCUCCUCUGACGUUAGCGGCGGACGGGUGAGUAACACGUGGAUAACCUACCUAUAAGACUGGGAUAACUUCGGGAAACCGGAGCUAAUACCGGAUAAUAUAUUGAACCGCAUGGUUCAAUAGUGAAAGACGGUUUUGCUGUCACUUAUAGAUGGAUCCGCGCCGCAUUAGCUAGUUGGUAAGGUAACGGCUUACCAAGGCAACGAUGCGUAGCCGACCUGAGAGGCUGAGCGGCCACAGUGGACCUGAGACACGCCCCAGACCCCGACGGGGGGAAGCAGGGGGGAAUCUUCGGAAGGGGGCGAAAGCCUGACGGAGCCACGCCGGGUGGGGAAAAAAGGUCUUCGGUUUAUAAACCUUUUUAAUUGGGGAAAAAAAAUUGUGAAUUAAAACUGCCCCUUUUUGACGGUACCAAAGAAAAAACCCCCGGCUACCUCCGUC